rnacentral:rRNA from 1 species
GACGAACGCUGGCGGCGUGCUUAACACAUGCAAGUCGAACGGAAAGGCCCUGCUUUUGUGGGGUGCUCGAGUGGCGAACGGGUGAGUAACACGUGAGUAACCUGCCCUUGACUUUGGGAUAACUUCAGGAAACUGGGGCUAAUACCGGAUAGGAGCUCCUGCUGCAUGGUGGGGGUUGGAAAGUUUCGGCGGUUGGGGAUGGACUCGCGGCUUAUCAGCUUGUUGGUGGGGUAGUGGCCUACCAAGGCUUUGACGGGUAGCCGGCCUGAGAGGGUGACCGGCCACAUUGGGACUGAGAUACGGCCCAGACUCCUACGGGAGGCAGCGGUGGGGAAUAUUGCACAAUGGGCGGAAGCCUGAUGCAGCAACGCCGCGUGCGGGAUGACGGCCUUCGGGUUGUAAACCGCUUUCGCCUGUGACGAAGCGUGAGUGACGGUAAUGGGUAAAGAAGCACCGGCUAACUACGUG